rnacentral:rRNA from 1 species
AGCGCAGCGGAAGAAUAAGUCUGAUGUGAAAGCCCUCGGCUUAACCGAGGAACUGCAUCGGAACUGUUCUUGAGUGCAGAGAGGAGAGUGGAAUUCCAUGUGUAGCGGUGGAAUGCGUAGAUAUAUCGCGGGAGAACACCAGUGGCGAAGGCGACUCUCUGGUCUGCAACUGACGCUGAGGCUCGAAAGCAUGGGUAGCGAACAGGAUUAGAUACCCUGGUAGUCCAUGCCGUAAACGAUGAGUGCUAAGUGUUGGAGGUUUCCGCCUCUCAGUGCUGCAGCUAACGCAUUAAGCACUCCGCCUGGGGAGUACGACCGCAAGGUUGAAACUCAAAGGAAUUGACGGGGGCCCGCACAAGCGGUGGAGCAUGUGGUUAAUUCGAAGCAACGCGAAGAACCUUACCAGGUCUUGACAUCUAGUGCCAUCCUAAGAGAUUAGGAGUUCCCUUCGGGACGCUAAGACAGGUGGUGCAUGGCUGUCGUCAGCUCGUGUCGUGAGAUGUUGGGUUAAGUCCCGCAACGAGCGCAACCUUGUUAUUAGUUGCCAGCAUUAAGUUGGGCACUCUAAUGAGACUGCCGGUGAUAAACCGGAGGAAGGUGGGGAUGACGUCAAGUCAUCAUGCCCCUUAUGACCUGGGCUACACACGUGCUACAAUGGACAGUACAACGAAGCGAGCCUGCGAUAGGCAAGCGAAUCUCUGAAAGCUGUUCUCAGUUCGGACUGCAGUCUGCAACUCGACUGCACGAAGCUGGAAUCGCUAGUAAUCGCGGAUCAGAACGCCGCGGUGAAUACGUUCCCGGGCCUUGUAC